rnacentral:rRNA from 1 species
ACUCUACAAUGCAGGCAACUGCGAUAGGGGAACAUCGAGUGGCACCCACCAUGGGUGUCUGUCCAACCGUCUAAAAAACGGUUGUUAGCGAGGGCCGGGUAAGACCGGUGCCAGCCGCCGCGGUAAUACCGGCGGCUCGAGUGGUGGCCGAUAUUAUUGAGUCUAAAGGGUCCGUAGCUGGCUUUGCAAGUCCCCUGGGAAAUCCAGCGGCUUAACCGUUGGGCUUCCAUGGGAUACUACAUUGCUUGGGACUGGGAGAGGUAGGAGGUACUCAGGGGGUAGGGGUGAAAUCCUGUAAUCCUCUGGGGACCACCGGUGGCGAAGGCGUCCUACCAGAACAGGUCCGACAGUGAGGGACGAAAGCUAGGGGCACGAACCGGAUUAGAUACCCGGGUAGUCCUAGCCGUAAACGAUGCUCGCUAGGUGUCACGGCAGUCGUGAAUUGUCGUGGUGCCGUAGGGAAGCCGUGAAGCGAGCCACUUGGGAAGUACGACCGCAAGGUUGAAACUUAAAGGAAUUGGCGGGGGAGCAC